UUCAUCCAAAAUAUAAGAUAAUUCAAUAUGACCAACUAUCACUCUUACCAAUUUAUGACUUGUAUAUAUAACUAUUGUCGUUUACAAAGAAAAAUUAAAUCCAAAAUAUUUGGCAUUAUAUUGUCUUUCAUUGUUGUUAUAUGUUUUGUGAUAGCUUGAGGGAACCUGUUCGAAAGUGUGCUAAAACUAAAGAGACAAUUGAGAGGUGAGAGCCUAAAAAUUUAAUUUGCCCAUUAACCAAUUCACUAAAACUCUGAGCGCCAUAACCAAAUCACUUAAAUUUUAAGCGCCAUAACCAAAUCACUUAAAUUUUGAGCGCCAUAACCAAAUCACUUAAAUUUUGAGCGCCAUAACCAAAUCAUUGAUUGAUUUGUCUAAUUUUUCACUUUUCUCAAUUUUGUUUCCGUUCUUGGAAUUUCUAGGGUUUGAAUAUGUUGAUAAUAGUUUGAUUAGUCUCUUGUGUUUGAUCUAUUUUUUCAUUUAGGGGAUUAUCAUUAAUCUACCUACAUUUUUGCAUAAAUUUUUGAUUUUAAUGGUACUAGCUUGUUCAUCUUUUCCUGUCUUUGUGCUUCAUCAGAUCUAAUAUGCAACUUUUGGUAUUCUUUUAACUUAAAAAAUUGGAUUUUUGUAAUUUCAUUGUAGAAAAUCGAUGGAAACUGUAUAAUUUUGAGAUGUUUUAAAGUCAUUGUUCUUGGGAUCAUCAGAAAAACUGUCAAUAUCAUGACUUUUUGGAAUUUUGUCUCAUAGAUUUGAACUUUUUCUCAAGUGUACUUGUGGACAUCUUCAAUGUCACAAGAACUGGUAAAUGUUAUGAUGACUUCUUGAAGCACGCAACUAGUUUUGAACGAUAUUUUUAUAUGCUUCUUUUCAGGUUGAUCUGGUAAUUUCCUCCUCCAAUCAUCCUAGAGAGCCUCCCAGAAGAUCAGAAUCAGCAGCCACCUAUCAAUCUUCAUGACUAACAGAAAUGCAAGUUCAGCAAGAGAAGAUGACAUGAGCGAUUUAAAAGAUCUGUCUGUUUUUGAGAUGCCCGGAAAUAGAGUUGAUACUUAUCAAAUGAGUAUGCUAAUAGGGAAUACAUGUUCUAAAGUGCGUACUGCGUUGCAAGAAACUCAAAUUGUAGAACCAUAACCAUAAUAGACUACCCAACAAUAGUGUUUCGAGGAUCGUCAUGCCUUUGAACUUCAGUGUGUCCUUGAAUUCUUCCACAUUUCCACAUCCGAAUGAGUUAUCAGCUCCAACAUCUCCCUGUGAGCCUCCUGGUCCUCCACAAAUUUUAUAUUGUCGGCAUGGAGAAAGGUCUUUGCAGUGGUUGCGAGGUGUGGUAGGGAUGCUGGUGUAACAGGGGUUGUCUUGCUAGCAGGUGCAUACACGCGAGUGAUGGUUGCAUUCUUGUAAUUUGCUAGAAUUGCGGUUAUUGCAUCAGGUUGGGCAAAAAUACUUGUGCAUUCAUUUGUUCUAUACUUCUAUGUGUAAAUGAUACUCUGUAAUAUGACUAUCACUUCAGGUCUGUGAGUUGUCUUCUAUCAGUUUGAUUAGUGUUGCUUCUGUCAGGUUGAUUAUUACCGCCGACCAAAUAUUUCCAGAAACACGAUAUUUGUGUCUGCAUCAUUUGUAUGGUGUUUCCCAACUGACCAUCUGUAGUAAGCAUAUCCCUACAAAACACAUCUUCUCUCUUGUGGGCAGGCAGUUAAGAUUUUAUGCUCAUAGUAUUGUUUGUUGUUAUCUUAUAUUGCCAAGAAUGGGCUCAUUUAAGAUAAUAAAAGACUAUGUGAACUAAUAUUCCACUA